rnacentral:misc_RNA from 1 species
GUUUGCGAUUCUCAGAGCUCGAAAGCUUUUCGUCUCAGUAUCAUUUUUGCAGGACUCUUUCUACUAAUUAGACCCUCAGAGGAAUGACUGAAUAUAUCUAAGGUCAACGUAUUUUCUUCGGCUGGAAGUCGCCAGAAAAUUUCAAAUGAAGCCCGAUGCCGCGUGCAACGGAAAUUUUUCAAAUAUCUGACCGCGUUCUGCGCAAUUCGCAUGGCGAUUCUUCUGAUCGCCAUGUAUUCGGGACAUGGCCAAGCACCGAUACCGUAUGAUUGAAACAACGGCUGUGUAACGUGAAUCGUUCAGUGUAUUCCCACGAAACUCAUUUGUGAACAAUAUACAAACGACAAGCCGCGUGUGGUAGAAAAAAGAACGGAGUUACUGAAAUAAAAACAGCCUGUGACAUCGAAGGUGAGUUUAGUUUAUCAAAUUUUCAUUGCUUGUGCAACUUCAGCUUUUAGUGAUUUCGAUACUCGACUCCAUGCGUCGGGUGUCGUUUGUUAUUGUUUGUGGUGCGGCUGACUUUCUGUCAGUGCGUAGUUGCAUUGUUAGCAAGUUUAACUCAAUCCGUUUAGGCAGCCAACUGUAACACGAAAAGUGUUAAUGGGCUUCAAAUAUCGAGUGUAAUUAUUACGCUGCAGUUUGCUGAACAUGUUAUUAAAACAGAUUGAAAUUGCUCUCGGGCAGAGUUUUGACUAGUCACAAGCGUUCUGUGCCGAGAAAAUGGCCCGAUAAUCUUCCGUUGUGAUUUUUUUUCCAACAUUCUGGAAAAUCGGGUCUUGCGGAAGGCGACCUUCCUGCGAGUUGCGUCUCGGAUUUCGAUUCGCGGAUCAAGUAUUUCCAACUAACUUCUGUUACCAACAUUGGUUUAAGUGUUUUGAGUAUUAUUGUGUAAUAUAAUGAUGCGAUUGGUUUAUUCGUCGCAUAUGGAAAAUCGCUUGUAUGUACGUACAGUGAUAACCAAUGAAAAUUUUGCAGUCAAUUUUGUUGUCUAUCAUUCUUGCUGCAAUAACAUCAUGUGUUAAUAUAUUUGUGAUUCAUUUCGUUACUUCCAAUUAAAAAUCGUGCAUUUUCUAAUUCUUACGUUGAAAACGCAUCUGAGAACCACUGACUCAACCACGUAUUUUGACGUACGGCAUUUUGCCGUUGCGUCGCGUCGGUACUCAGCUGCUUUCAACGUAUUAUCAAUGCAUUUGUUGCAGCGUAAAUUUGCCGUCGGGCCAAUUAGACGCCCGUGAAAAUCCAACUUGACAAAAAAAAAAAAAAAAAUACAAACGAAUUUCAUCUGUCAAGCUGCCGUCGUAUCGCCUUCAUUUUUUUACAACGUGGCAGUGAGGAAUCGCGCCAAGUAAAGCGAUGACAACUCUCCGAUUGGCCCUGGUACAACUUGCCGUAACCGACGAUAAAGCAAUAAACAUCUCUCGAGCAAUCUCCUUUGUCGAACAAGCAAAACAACGCGGUGCCGACGUCGUUGCACUGCCAGAGUGCUUCAACUCACCUUAUGGAACUGUACAUUUUCGAAAUUUCGCUGAAAAUAUUCCCGCGGGUGAGACAAGCCUUGCUUUAUCAGCUGCAGCUAAAACGAAUGAAAUUUGUGUGAUCGGUGGUUCGAUCCCGGAAAGAGAUGGGGAGCAAUUGUUCAACACUUGUACGGUCUGGGAUUCCAACGGAACAUUCAUCGGGAAAUACAGAAAGAUGCAUUUGUUCGACGUAGACGUUGAAGGAAAAAUAUCAUUCAAAGAAAGUGACACCAUCACAGCUGGCAAUGAGCUACUCACGUUUCGAGUCAAAGGCUGGAAAAUCGGUUUAGGAAUCUGUCACGACAUCCGGUUCGAAGAGUUGGCUCGUCUUUACCGUAAUUUAGGGUGUCAAUUGAUGUUUUACCCCGGUGCUUUUGAAUCGACCGUAACCGGACCGUUGCAUUGGUCUCUUCUCCAACGAGCCCGUGCCAAUGACGCCCAGCUUUACGUUGCCGGUGUAUCUUCGGCCAAAGUAGACGGUUUCGGGUACGAAUCUUAUGGCCACACGCAGCUGACGGAUCCCUGGGGAAGAGUGCUCAAGGAGUUGGAGUUCGCGGAAGAUAUGAUUGUUGCUGAUAUUGACAUGACAGUUGUUGAUGAGGUGAGAACCCAGAUUCCGAUUUUUGGUCAACGACGUGAGGACUUAUAUGAGACUGCUUGGAUAAAAAAUUAAUACGAACGCCGGAGAAGUUUUCGUCAAUGUAUAUUUUCUUUUUUUUUUAUACAGCUAAUGUAAAUUAUAUUAUUGCCCGUAUCCUUCAAAUUGACAGUUGAAAAUGCGCACUAUAAGUAAUGGAAAAAUAUCAUCCAUUUGCAUAGUUAAACUUUCGAAGCUGUCCAAUUUGUUCGCAAGUUAUUGUACCUUAAUUAGCACGCUUUGUUUUAAUUUCAGAUCACUGAAUAUAAUACAAUGAAUUUAGAAUGUUUAUUUAUACAUAAAAGGCCCCUUGAUGAUCCUCAACAAAUCUCAAUCAAACUUAAUAGUUCAUGUUUUAACAUGUUAUUACGUUCCUGUGCAUAUUACAUAAUAUGUUAUUAUUAUUUUUAUAUUUACAUUGAUAGAAUAAUAAAUUUAUACGUGUAUAAAUAUUAGUUAAAAAUGUAAGCCUAGGAGAAAUUGGUCAAUUAAUAAGACUUCUAAGUAUGAAUCUAAGGAAUAGCGAAAAAGCUUUGAUUUUCAGUCGAUAUGAGUUGGGCUGAAGUAAUCCGAACAAUAUGAAAUCGUGGUAAUAUAUCACUAUAUUGAUUUGAUUUCCGGUGAAAGCUUGCUUCUGAAAAUACAUUGAAAACAAGUUUUCAGACAAACUUGAAACAUGACUUUUGUCAAAACAUCCAAAUGUUUUCCAUCAAGUUAUUAUACGUCAGAAUUUCAUAUAAAAUCUUUAAAGUAGUUAUCCCAUUAAAAAUACAAGCGUUUUUAAACGCCCAACUCACUUGAAUAGAUUUUGCUUUUCCCAAAAUUUACUUACACAAUUAACAAGGAUGAACAGAAGAGACAAAAUAUCGCAAUAAUAUUCCAAGAAUUGGUAUUACAAGCUUGUUAAAAUUUUUUAGUAAGAAGUUGUUCAUCAGGUUUGAAAUCAAGAUCACAAAAUUUUGCGUUCAUUUUAAAAGCAGCGCUCUUCAAAUUUGUCUCAUGUUCUGAAAUCACUUUAUCAUAACAAUAACUAAUUUCAUAUAUUCCUUUUUUCAUUCCAUACAAAUCUGCAACAACGAUGUACGAAAUUUUGAUUUGUGCAAUGCGAGGCGGUAUAAUUUUUUUAAGUAAUUUAUUUUUGCAUCUUUCAAAUUGUUUGCGAGAAUCUUUCUACCGUUUGCGAGAAGAAUUGAGAAAAAAUUUAUCGAUGCAAAAUGUGAUAUUAUAGCAUGCGAUAGCGUGGAAUGAAAUAUGGUUUGAUAUUAAAUAUUAUCUUACGUCAAAAGUCAACGCGACAAAACAUAGAGAAACAUAAGUUGAUGCAGAAAUUAUUUUUAAACUGCUUAAAAUUCACCCUACUUUCAACAUUCGAUAAUAUUACGUACCUUACAUCUAAAAAGACGUCAAUUCGCUAAGAAGUAUUCAAGAAACCAUUUAUUUCAGUAAUUUCUAGCCGAUACUUCGCAAGCAUUUUCAUGCUUAUGAUGAUCGCUUGUGAUGAUAAAAAAAUUAUUUAUAUAACGCAUGUCUGGUUUAUGCGUCUCUUUUUUAUCUGCGUUUCGUACUGACAAGUUUUCAUAAAGAGCAAAAACUGACUUGAUAUUUAUGCAAAAGUUAUUAUAUACAUGUGUUCAACGAUAUGUGAUUACAGACAUAAAUUCUUAUUCGAAUGGAUGGAUUUAACGUAUCUUGAUACUGGCUCUCGUCGAUUGGAAUGACGAAACGAUAAUAUGGAUUACGUCUAUAAAUUGAAGAGGUAGAUUUGAAAAAAACUGUUCGGAUGGCAGCUCUCGGAGAUCUUAAAACAUAGAAGAUUUCUGUUUACCACUUCGCCUUGACAACCAACGGACCUGUAAACCCCGGAAACCAUACUUCAAAUUCUAGCCUUCGGCAAUGUGCUGCCAAAAGUACGGACAUGAUUUUCCACAUAUUCCUCAAUUUCACAAUAAAUUUUUCGAGAGGA